ACUGGAGGGGGGGAGUCCCUCAGCCCAGAUUAUGAGAGGGCACAGGCUGAGGGACCCCACCAGUGCAUA
rnacentral:pre_miRNA from 1 species